UGAGGCAGGAGAAUUGCUUGAACCCAGGAGGUGGAGGCUGCAGUGAGCUGAGAUGGUGUCACUGCACUCCAGCCUGGGUGACAGAGUGAGACUCCGUCUCA
ensembl:miRNA